AACGCACGAGACCUGCGGACCUGCGGAGGGAUCAUCAAAGAAUUAUUUACACAGAAAAGAUUGGAGUGGGGGGUUGGAGUGAGAGAUUCGUCGCUUGCUCUCUCUUUUCCUCUGAUCUUUUCUGAACAAACAAACAUACAUGACUAGGAAAAACAAAUUGAUUUGGUUGGCAAACAAGACAAGAAGUUCUUGGCUGAUAAGUAGCAUUGAUUUGGAAUCAAUACAACUUUUAACAAUGGA
rnacentral:misc_RNA from 1 species